UUCCAUUUUUCCAUUUACACAUGUUCCGCCUACCUUCUCCAUACCUCUCUUUCUCUCUCAUCCGCUUCAUUUCAAAGCUUGAAACCUCAACCGUCAAAAACUCUCUUUCUCCGCCACCCUCCUCGUCCAGUUGAAGACUCCUACAACUUUCUCUCUCCUCAAAAAUUCCAAUCACUAGAAUUGAGACCGAAAAUUACAAAGUCCAUGAAAAGAGCUCUGCGAAAAUAACAAGAGGAAAAACGCUAGGUUCCGGCGCGACGAUGAAGGCAAAAUAUCGAAGCAGUAUGAAUGGUUUGUAGUUCCGAUGGCUAAGAUGUGCAAAGAAGCAGCAUACAGGGUAUCUACUGAUAGGUGCCUUGGGGUUACUUGUCAAGUUGUCAUUACUUUCAAGGACCGAGGAAACGAAAGUAGCUGGUGCAGACUGAACAAUUGUGACAGUACGUUGAACCUCAAAACCAUGCGAGGGUCUCUCAAGCAGAGCUCUUGACGAGGCAGCUGCUAUACCGUUGCCUGUUGUCAAGUCAUUGUUGGGUCCCUACCUGGUUUUCUUAUCCUCCACAGUGAAUGGAUAUGAAGGCACUGGCCGCUCUUUGUCUCUGAAGCUUGUCAGUCAUUUGGAAAAGCAGAGUCACAACCCUGCCACUGGUGUGAUUUCAGGAAAUUCUGGUAGUAGUUUAUUUUUUCUUGCUGUGGAAUCCUUCAGAAUGAUGUUUUUAUUUUGCAUCUCUUUCCCACUUGAAGAAAUGUUAUUAGGAUGGAUUAAUGUGAUAUCUGAAACUGUUGGCCAAGUCAAUGAAAUUAGAGAUUCUACUCUCAAUUCUCAAAACUAUCAAGGUUUUACUAAGAGUUCACCACUUUGUUUGAAUUUAUUAAUUUAACCACUCACCGGUAAUUUGGACUUGAUUCUAUGCAUGUCUUCUUACUGAGGUCGUCAAUCCUAAUGCUGAAAUGGUAAAGUAUGUCUAGAAUUUGGCCAGGAAGAAAUUAGAAUUGACAGCAGCAGGUGUGAUCUGUUCGUUUUAGUUGUUGUUCUGUUCUGUUCUGUUUCGUUGCUAUUCUGUUUUGUGUUGUUCUGUUGCUGUUCUGUGCAUUCUAUUCUGUUCAUUCUGUUCUGUCCGUGCAUUAUAUUAAGUACAUGUCAUUAUUUGUUCUGCAUGUUAAAUAAAUGUUGUGAGAUGCAUGGGUAGUGCGUUGCAUUUAUGGCUGCUUUGUCUGAACAGCUUAUAUGCGCUCCCUUUAUGCGUUAAUGCUCUCUCUUGACUUUUCUUCUCACAUGUCUGCCUUGUUUGCUUUUUUUUUGCUGAGGCUGAAGCUGAAGCUGUUCCCACAAAGACUACACUUAGAUCAGAUCAUGGAGAGGAGUUUAGGAGGCAGCACCAAGCUGAACUUGCUGGUGGAGGUGCAGGGGUGGGAGAUAAUCGCUCAGCAUGGAGAUCUUUACUUUUGGUCUGUAUUGGGUACUUAAUAUAAAUUAUUAGAAAUACAAUGAUUGUUUCCCGUAUUGUAAGAUUUAUUAUCUUUAUUGUCCUUAUGUUUUAAGCCUUA